AAUGAUUUUUAUUUAAUGGCCGCAGUAUUUUGACUGUGCAAAGGUAGCAUAAUCAUUAGUUUUUUAAAUGAAAGCUGGUAUGAAUGGUUUGAUGAAAAAUUAACUGUCUCAUUUUAAUUUUAUUAGAAUUUUAUUUUUAAGUGAAAAUGCUUAAAUGUUUUAUAAAGACGAGAAGACCCUAUAGAGUUUAAUAUUAUAAUAAUUUAUUUAUUUUAUGUUUUUAAUUUAGAUUUUUUGUUUUGGUAUUUUGCUGGGGCGGUUAGAAAAUUUAUUUAACUUUUCUUUUAUUUUUACAUUUAUUUUUGAGUUUAUGAUCCUUUUUAUUGAUUUUAAGAUUAAAUUACCUUAGGGAUAACAGCGUAAUUUUUUUGGAAAGUUCAUAUUUAUAAAAAAGUUUGCGACCUCGAUGUUGGAUUAAAAUUUAUUUUUGGUGAAGAAGCUGAAAUAUUA
rnacentral:rRNA from 1 species